rnacentral:tRNA from 2 species
CGCGGGGUGGAGCAGUCUGGUAGCUCGUCGGGCUCAUAACCCGAAGGUCGCAGGUUCAAAUCCUGCCCCCGCUACUA